UACGUAGGGUGCGAGCGUUGCCCGGAUUUAUUGGGCGUAAAGAGCGCGCAGGCGGUCGUUCAAGUCGCGUGUGAAAGCCCCCGGCUCAACUGGGGAGGGUCACGCGAUACUGAUCGACUCGAAGGCAGGAGAGGGUAGUGGAAUUCCCGGUGUAGUGGUGAAAUGCGUAGAUAUCGGGAGGAACACCAGUGGCGAAGGCGACUACCUGGCCUGUUCUUGACGCUGAGGCGCGAAAGCUAGGGGAGCAAACGGG
rnacentral:rRNA from 1 species